AGGGCAUUGUGGACCAUUGUGUAACAGGAAUGGUUCUCUCAGAACUGACUCGGGAAAUGGAUCUGAGUUUUCUGGAUGAUUUCUUUGACGGAUGCUCGGUUACCCCAGUAGUAAAAUGAAGAGGUAGAACUGGCAAUUCUGUGGUUCUUGGAUCAGCAUGAGAGCCAAGCUUCAGCACAGCUCAAAGUGGACAUGAGUCAAACUGGUGAUAAAUCUAUUUCAUACACUGCUUUUGCCCCAGGCAUGUGCUCCUAUGGAACCAGGCUGGGACAGGAGGAGUUCUUCAAGGCUCUCCUGGUGCAUGUCAGGAUGUCUGAAGUCUUGGGAAUAAAAGGUGACAACCAUGUUCUGGAAGCAUUUAUGACCAAAAAUGGUGUUGUCUGAAUUUGUCAGUCCCUGUGACUGCUCUUCUGUCAUUCCUACUGUUGCACUGGGGCGAGUGAUCUGGUCUGGGCAGUAUCCCUAAAGGUCCCAUGAAGUUCCCACGAUGUGAGAUUUCUCUGUGAAAGCCUCAGAGCCUGACCCGUCUGAACACGUGCAGAGAUGAGGCCUUUGCUGGCUUGUUCUGGUUUCUUUUCCUGUAGGUGAGGAUGAGGACGAGUCUGAGAAUUUCCUGCUCCCCCCACAGCUUGAUUUAAGGCCCCUUCUGCUCAGCUAGUAGACCUUGGACCUGCCUGCAAGCAGAGGGUGUUGUUCCAUCAAAAGGAGAUUGCCUUCAGUCUGGCCGCACCAUUGUUUUCCAGUUGUUCAUGAAUCCAUUGCUGUGUUCAGCUCUGAUGAAGAUCUGAAUAUUUUUCUGUUAUUUUUAAAAUCACAGCAUUUAAGUGUUGAUGGAUCAUCUCCAAACAGAAUUCUUCCCUUCAGAGAAGCCAGGAAAGUGAUGUGUCCAUUGAUACAAUUGUGUCCUCCAGCUGCUGAGCUACUUUAGACUACAUUGUCACCUGCUUCUUCGGGCACUAAAGACAAGAAGACUCUCAGAGGUAGAGACAUUUCACAGGAUGGACAGAGAUUGCUCCACUUCAUGCAGCAGAACCCAGAAGUUCUACACCAGAUGAUGUCAGUCCUAAUGAACACCAUCAUCUUUGGAGACUGAAGAAACCAAUGGCCUGUGUCAAGACUGCUGCUUAGACUCACACUUCUUAAUGAGAAAGUCACUCAGAGCAUGCUGGAGAGACGUGGCCAAAGCUCUGCACUGCAAAGGGGCCUCCAAUCCCAAGGGCGUGGAUCUAAUUUGACAAGGACUUUGGAAACAGAGAACUGACUGAUAAACCCUCUUGGAAAGUGCUGGCACCCUGUUAUUUGUUAGAGAGAUUUUUUACUCUUGUGAAAACUAUUUUUUAAGAUAUUUUCCACAUUUUUCUAUCUCUAGCCUAAAUGUAAGGAUUUAUAAUAGUGAAAACAAUGGAAAAUCAGCCUUACUUUGAAGAAUGUUUUCAGCCUUUCUUAUCAAAAUUUAUAAUCCUGUUGUUUUAGCUUUAUGAAACAGUGUAAAAAUAGUGUAUAAAUAGAGAAAAAAAGGAUAUGCAUUCAUUCUGAAUUUGUGUCAGUUCAUGAUUCUCAGUUCUGUACAUAAUAGUAAAUAAUAUCUCAUCAGUUCAAACCUCUAAGCUCACUCUUAAGACAUAUUUGUUUGAAAAUGAGAUGAAAGCCAGUACAAACUUUAUAUGACACCUUUUCAAACUAUUUUUCUGCAAAAUGUUCUAUAUUUCUUUGCAGCACACGUGGUUAAUGACAAUGAGGACCACAAAGAAGACUGAAAACAAGCAUUUUUAGGCUAUAAGUGUAGCAAGAAAAUUGAAUGUUGCACAGAGCGGAAUGAGAGAGGAUGGAGCAAGACUUAGUGAAGUACUGAUGUGUUAUUUCACAAGUACACAUUUUCCAGGUCUUUAGAAUCAGCAAAAACAGAAGCACAAAAGAAAAUGGAGGUGUUAAAACCCUUCACAAAGCAUAAAGUUUAUCCAAAACUGCAGAAAAAAGAAAGAGACUUACCCUGGUGAGCAGUGGGUGUCCUGUGCUGGGCAGGAGGGGCUCUGCUGGCUGGGGAGAUGCAAAAUGGAUUGAAGGAAGACCUAAUAAAAAUCAGAACCUCUUAAACCAUAA